rnacentral:rRNA from 1 species
UACAGAGGUCUCAAGCGUUGUUCGGAUUCAUUGGGCGUAAAGGGUGCGUAGGCGGCGCGGUAAGUCGGGUGUGAAAUCUCGGAGCUUAACUCCGAAACUGCAUUCGAUACUGCCGUGCUUGAGGACUGGGAGAGGAGACUGGAAUUUACGGUGUAGCGGUGAAAUGCGUAGAUAUCAGGAGGAACACCGGUGGCGAAGGCGGUUCUCUGGGGCCUUACCUGACGCUGAGGAGCGAAAGCGUGGGGGAGCGAACAGG